UGAGGUUUUGCUUCUUUCCAUAUUAGGAUUGU
rnacentral:piRNA from 1 species